GGGUUAAAUCUCUAAAAACACAUACCAACACAUAUGGUUGUCUGCUCUCUUGAGGCAGAGGGACGACUUGUUUCUUUAAAUCAGGCCUAUAAAUCCUUCUGGUCACUUCCUUCAAUAGGAGUGAAGCUGGGAUGAAGACUGAGUUGCUCUUCAGGGUCAGUGGAGCCAUUCAAGUUAAAAUGGACCUCAACAGCAGGCUGCUCCUCGCAGCUGCCCUGUGACCGUGGAAAUUAAGUUAUGCCCCGUGUCAGCAAGUUUUCUUCUUCUUUCGGAAACCCUUUCUACCUCAAUCGAUCCUCUCAGUGCUCAUUUUUUAAAGUUUCUCCUAUUCGUAUUUAUGAGAGACUCUGAAGUGGAGUCUUAGCUGGAGUAUUUAGUGUUGAUAACAGACAUAAUGGACAACGAUGGGACAGAAUGAGGUAUUGUGUGGUUGUAAGUGAGAAGGCCCAGCAUUCUUGGUCAAUGUUAAGUCAAUGGCCUCUUGUUGAAAAACACACACACACACACACACGCACUGCUUCUUUACCAACAGGUCUGCAGGGCUCAAAUGGAAAACCUCCUCUUUUCCUCGGUUUCCUCCACCCUCUUCAUUCGCUCAGCCUCUGUGUCCUUCCUCCUUCGACAUGCGCUUGUGUUUUGCUUGUCUGUGGGAUAGUUUAUUUGUCCUGUGGUUGGAUGAAGAAGCUGGAUGAUGACUCCUGCUUCUGCGGGUGUAAGCGUGUGUCUGCAACAGCUGCUUGCUGCCAACAAUUCAGAGCGUUACGAAGCGUUAGGACAUGUUUAGGGGCUUCUCCUCCUGCGUCUGCAUGCUUCCCUCCCCUGCGCUGCCUGUCAGAGGGAUUUUAUGGCUGUUGAUACAAAAAAUGGGCUCUGGGCUGCUCUAGUAAAAAACACCUUUCCUUCCAUCACCUCAUUAUCCUCCUGAGUGAAAACAAGCGGCCAAACGUCUCCUUCAUCUGUCAUUAUUCCCUUAAGAGUGAUCAAAGUUCUGCUUUUCCAUUAGCACCAACUGUUACAGCACACAUGAAUUACUUCAUUAUUCUAAUUUACCUGUAUAGUUGUUCAAUAAAUUUCAUGGUAAGAAUGAAGAGUAGUAAAAU
ensembl:lncRNA